rnacentral:rRNA from 1 species
GCGCUACCUGCAGUCGACGGUAACAGGAAGCAGCUUGCUGCUUUGCUGACGAGUGGCGGACGGGUGAGUAAUGUCUGGGAAACUGCCUGAUGGCGGGGGAUAACUACUGGAAACGGUAGCUAAUACCGCAUAACGUCGCAAGACCAAAGAGGGGGACCUUCGGGCCUCUUGCCAUCUGAUGUGCCCAGAUGGGAUUAGCUAGUAGGUGGGGUAACGGCUCACCUAGGCGACGAUCCCUAGCUGGUCUGAGAGGAUGACCAGCCACACUGGAACUGAGACACGGUCCAGACUCCUACGGGAGGCAGCAGUGGGGAAUAUUGCACAAUGGGCGCAAGCCUGAUGCAGCCAUGCCGCGUGUAUGAAGAAGGCCUUCGGGUUGUAAAGUACUUUCAGCGGGGAGGAAGGCGAUACGGUUAAUAACCGUGUCGAUUGACGUUACCCGCAGAAGAAGCACCGGCUAACUCCGUGCCAGCAGCCGCGGUAAUACGGAGGGUGCAAGCGUCAAUCGGAAUUACUGGGCGUAAAGCGCACGCAGGCGGUCUGUCAAGUCGGAUGUGAAAUCCCCGGGCUCAACCCGGGAACUGCAUUCGAAACUGGCAGGCUAGAGUCUUGUAGAGGGGGGUAGAAUUCCAGGUGUAGCGGUGAAAUGCGUAGAGAUCUGGAGGAAUACCGGUGGCGAAGGCGGCCCCCUGGACAAAGACUGACGCUCAGGUGCGAAAGCGUGGGGAGCAAACAGGAUUAGAUACCCUGGUAGUCCACGCCGUAAACGAUGUCGACUUGGAGGUUGUGCCCUUGAGGCGUGGCUUCCGGAGCUAACGCGUUAAGUCGACCGCCUGGGGAGUACGGCCACA